AAAGAGACUGUGCUGUGUGUAGG
rnacentral:piRNA from 1 species